rnacentral:rRNA from 1 species
AUGUCGCCAUCCGAGAGCUCGACGCUGUCGUCAAGGAGGGAGUCAUGGCGGACAUGCAGGAGGACGUGUCGGUGGAGGGCAGUCUUGGUCGUGGACGGAGACGAUGUCGUGCAUGCCAGAGUAUGUGUCUGUGCUGCCUGUCUGGGUGGGUGCCGACACGUGGUCACCGUCGGCACCACGGCCAAAGGUUGUGCAGCGACCUCCGCAUGCGCCUCCGGCCAGGCAGGAGCCGUGAGCCCACCUCUGGCAGCCGCCACCGUACAUCGACCUCACCUGGGACGACGACGAGGAGGACGAUGGGGUGUGAAGAUGGCGGCAUCGAGGGCGACCACGGCAGCGGCGUCAUCAUGUCUAUUUUAUGUUUUUUAA